CGGGAUCUCUGGAGCUCUUAAGUUAUCCUGCAACAGUGUGACUCUUGUCCUAACUUUUUUUUCAGAUUCAGAUGGAUAAAAUCUCUGUCAGAGGGCCCCAUCCUGGGUGACGAGAUUCCCCCGAGCAGGAAAUAAAUCUGGCUACCAGCAGUCAAGGCAAUCCACUCGGAGCAUGCUAGGCCUCUGUAACCACCCGCCCGAUGCACUGGGUUUCCGGCUCAUGUGAGCCCUGUGGAUAUAUUGCAGGACCUGGUGAUGAAGCCCUGAAUUUUCUACUUAAUGGUGUCAUCUG